rnacentral:rRNA from 1 species
AGAGUUUGAUCAUGGCUCAGGACGAACGCUGGCGGCGUGCUUAACACAUGCAAGUCGAGCGGUAAGGCCCUUCGGGGUACACGAGCGGCGAACGGGUGAGUAACACGUGGGUGACCUGCCCCCUGCUCUGGGAUAAGCCUGGGAAACUGGGUCUAAUACCGGAUAUGACCUCUGGUUGCAUGACUGGUGGUGGAAAGCCGGUGACUUUUGUUGCCGGUGGUGGGGGAUGGGCCCGCGGCCUAUCAGCUUGUUGGUGGGGUGAUGGCCUACCAAGGCGACGACGGGUAGCCGGCCUGAGAGGGCGACCGGCCACACUGGGACUGAGACACGGCCCAGACUCCUACGGGAGGCAGCAGUGGGGAAUAUUGCGCAAUGGGCGGAAGCCUGACGCAGCGACGCCGCGUGGGGGAUGACGGCCUUCGGGUUGUAAACCUCUUUCGGCCCCGACGAAGCGGGAGUGACGGUAGGGGUAGAAGAAGCACCGGCCAACUACGUGCCAGCAGCCGCGGUA